rnacentral:rRNA from 1 species
GAGUGGCGGACGGGUGAGUAACGCGUGGGUAACCUGCCUCAUACAGGGGGAUAACAGUUGGAAACGACUGCUAAUACCGCAUAAGCGCACAGGGUCGCAUGACCUGGUGUGAAAAACUCCGGUGGUAUGAGAUGGACCCGCGUCUGAUUAGCCAGUUGGUGGGGUAAUGGCCCACCAAGGCGACGAUCGGUAGCCGGACUGAGAGGUUGAACGGCCACAUUGGGACUGAGACACGGCCCAGACUCCUACGGGAGGCAGCAGUGGGGAAUAUUGCACAAUGGGGGAAACCCUGAUGCAGCGACGCCGCGUGGAGGAAGAAGGUCUUCGGAUUGUAAACUCCUGUUGUUGGGGAAGAUAAUGACGGUACCCAACAAGGAAGUGACGGCUAACCACGUGCCAGCAGCCGCGGUAAAACGUAGGUCACAAGCGUUGUCCGGAAUUACUGGGUGUAAAGGGAGCGCAGGCGGGAAGACAAGUUGGAAGUGAAAUCUAUGGGCUCAACCCAUAAACUGCUUUCAAAACUGUUUUUCUUGAGUAGUGCAGAGGUAGGCGGAAUUCCCGGUGUAGCGGUGGAAUGCGUAGAUAUCGGGAGGAACACCAGUGGCGAAGGCGGCCUACUGGGCACCAACUGACGCUGAGGCUCGAAAGUGUGGGUAGCAAACAGGAUUAGAUACCCUGGUAGUCCACACCGUAAACGAUGAUUACUAGGUGUUGGAGGAUUGACCCCUUCAGUGCCGCAGUUAACACAAUAAGUAAUCCACCUGGGGAGUACGACCGCAAGGUUGAAACUCAAAGGAAUUGACGGGGGCCCGCACAAGCAGUGGAGUAUGUGGUUUAAUUCGACGCAACGCGAAGAACCUUACCAAGUCUUGACAUCCCUUGACAGACAUAGAAAUAUGUUUUCUCUUCGGAGCAAGGAGACAGGUGGUGCAUGGUUGUCGUCAGCUCGUGUCGUGAGAUGUUGGGUUAAGUCCCGCAACGAGCGCAACCCUUAUGGUCAGUUACUACGCAAGAGGACUCUGGCCAGACUGCCGUUGACAAAACGGAGGAAGGUGGGGAUGACGUCAAAUCAUCAUGCCCUUUAUGACUUGGGCUACACACGUACUACAAUGGCGUUAAACAAAGAGAAGCAAGACCGCGAGGUGGAGCAAAACUCAGAAACAACGUCCCAGUUCGGACUGCAGGCUGCAACUCGCCUGCACGAAGUCGGAAUUGCUAGUAAUCGUGGAUCAGCAUGCCACGGUGAAUACGUUCCCGGGCCUUGUACACACCGCCCGUCA